UUUGCCACAAGUGGGCUGUACAGUGCUGCAUCUGAUUUAAUGUUGUGGCUUUUCUCGGUGUAAUUUCUUUAGCAUACUGUUUCUGGAUGUACUACUGCGUCUCGAAACACCGAAACAACCUUUUUCAUUAGAGUACAGCUUGUUCAUGGCACUGUGGACGAUGCUCGCUGCCAGUAUCUUUUUUUCUUUUCUUUUCUUAUGUUAGAAAGGCUCAAUAAGAACUGAACAAGCUGCAAGCUUUGUGAAGUGGAAGCCGUCAGAAGAACAUGCCUUAAGUCCACUACUAUCUCCUUAUCAUGUUCAGUGAAAUGUUAAGCUUUUUUUCUAGGUCACAUUGCAUUAGGUAAACAAAGUUUUCAGACAUUGCUGAAUGAUUUCUAAUGUUCUAUAUGCACUUCUUAUCAUUACCUGCACAUUUUUUUUUUCCAUAUCACAUCGUAGUUACAUAGGUGUAUAGUAUUGAAAAGCUCAUUUAAUAGCUCCGAGUAAUUCGGAAUAUUGAUAUCAGAUUAGCCAUUUAUUUAGAUUUUUCUGUUUAUCAUUCUUAAAGAAAUAGAACUUGUGCCUAGUUUAGGCUGUGUGGCUGGAGAUUGGUGACAUUUGUUCUUGCCAAGGUUAAUUCGGCGAAUGUGAUGAGAAAUGUUUGCUAUCUUGCAAACACAUUGAAUUACCAAACCAGCAGUGACAGCCGUCAUAUUUCGUGGUAUUCUGAACAAAACAUGUGUUUUUGCAGUAGCCAUGUUUUUGUCCUAAGUACAUGACUAUGCUGUGACCUGCAUCGUUGCUUCAAAAGCUUCAAAUGAUUAUUCUGAUCUUUCUGCUGGACUAUCAAUGCUCAGACAUCACACGAAGGUGCAACUUUGCAGUCUACUGUGUGUGUGCUUCGUGGCGUAGUGGGCUAACGCCGCGCGCUCAGAAGCGAGGGGUCCCUGGUUCGAUUCCGCAGUCUACUGUGUGUAAGAAUGUUCGCGACAUCAAUGCUUUGUUUGUUAGUUGGGUAAUGCAGACAAGUCAUUCAUAUGCAAGAAAUCAGUUCUCAGACAGUGCCUUCAGUCAAGUGAGUAGACUGUUGUCAUCUGCUGUGAAGAAGAAAAAAUGAACAACACUCCAUUCAACUAGCUCAUUUCGCUUUCCCGAGCACCUGUUCAUCAGAUACUGCUAUUUCUUAUUUCUUCUGCAAAAACCUAGGUGGCUGUGCCAACUGUUCUGUUGUUAUGUUGACAAUAGAUGUUGCAAAAUGCAAUUUCUAUGCAAGAUUUGAAGGCUGCCAAGUGAAUCAGUAGACUCGAGAGAGUUUUUCUUUCCUUUUAGAAUUGUAGAAGCAAAUAUGCAGGUCAUCGUAUUACUGCUGUAACUUCGUGUGCCAUCCAUUAACUCUUAUACACAUGGUAUAGAUGCGUCCAUUCAGUACAGGUGCUGUCAAAUGCACAUGAUUUUGUAAGCAGAGGCUACAGUCGUGUUUCCAGUAGCGUACUAGACGAGUAGGCAUCGUAAAGGAGGCUCACUUCUAACGAAGAGCAGGAACCCUCUUGUAGCUUGUUGCUUAGAGCCACACUUGGUACUGAACCAUGUAUUUCUGCAUUGCUAGAGGAUGAUUGUGCCGUUUACUUGACCAUGCUGGAGGGUCGUUCAUGAAGUUUGCGCUACUGCCCUUAAAGAACACAGAAUAAGUAGCGAAGGUUAGGUGGAAGAUUGCUCUCACUUUUGCUGCAAAAGCUACUUAUUCUUUCAUGAGUGGAGGAGUGAGACUAUCCAUACAGACCACCUUGUUUCGUUGAGUGUCCAGAAGUUAUCUUAUGGUGAAACUUAUGAUUUGGAUACAACGAAGUAACGGACGAAACAAAGUAAUCGUGCCUCCCCCUUCAAUAUUGUUAUAAUUAAAUUUUACUGUAUGGUAUUUGCAUGAGUGUUAUCAGUUUAAGUAGUUCCCAGUGUAACGAAAAAAAAUUCCACUAGAAGUUAUUGAUGAUAAUGGUCAAAACCAGCGUUAGCUUCUUUCAAAUUCACUGAAAUUCCAUUGAGUGGCAUUUUACUUAAACUGUCUCAAGUAUGAAAGCAAGGGCACGACACAUCCGGGAGGGGAAUGGUGUGGUUUGCAGUUACUCACCACAUGACCAUGAAUCCAGGAUCAGCCCAGUUUCGAUCACACCAGCUCCGGGGUUAACUCGGUCAACUACGUCUUUGACUUUACUCAGCUAGAAGUUGACUGAGCAGAUGCACCAUACUUAGGUAUGUGCUUGAAGGCAUACAAUUUGUGGCACUGAGGAGAUGUAGGUACCAUUCGUUGUUUUUUUAUGAAAUUCCAUAGUGAACAGAGCCAACAACCAGCGCAUUUCUAGGGGUAGUACAGAUGACUAUAUAAGCCAAUACAUAAUGUGUGUAACCCAUCUCUUCUCUUGGUGUUCAUAAUGAGAAACUAACCAACGACUCAUUGAAAGAUCGGACUGUCGCAAAGAUGACUACUUAAUAUAAUUCCUGGGUCCCAGCAUGUUAAUUAAAUCUAGGUUAACUCGUACUGUGGGACAUUCUUUGUUGUCAUUCUUGCAACUGUUUCCAUACAUACAGUUCCUGCAGCUGAGGGUUCGGCAGAGUCCUGUCUGGCCAGAUAAAGAACCAUUGUAGCAAAUGUAAACCUUGUCACUGACCAUUAGUUUUAGUAGGCCAUUAGUGCUGCCACUUACUGCAUUGUGCAUUACGCUCUGGUUUAUAGCGAUGCAGUCACCCCUCUUCCACAGUGGCCAUGUGGGUCAGUGAAGCUGUCACUCACUCUUGGACAACUGUAACAUCUCCUGGUUACUUUGUCUUGGAGGUAUUUCAGCAUGCAAGGAAAAAAUGUCAACCACCUAAAAGCAGCUCCAAGCUGCAAAGGAACCCCAUAGGGCUUCUUACAGAAAAAAAUAAUUGUUGCAGUCGAUGAAAAUAUUGUUUUGGUUUGUAUAUCUAACGUGGCACCACUAUUUAUACUGAAGAGUCGGUUCCUCUAACAACAUCCCUGAACAGGACGCUAGCACAUGAUAAGGUGACAGUGAAAUGACAACUAGAAGGGGUGCCGCAAAAUUAAGUGAGCAGAUAACCUCUGUACAUUUUAUGUGCUUAGUAGAUUCGUUAGCAGCCAGCAUUUUAUCUUUCACACCACAGAGGUGCUCUGCACUGGUGUAGUGUCAAUGCCUGUAGCGUGCAGAAGCUAGAGGAGCGUGCAUUUGUGCACAUGAUUCUGAUUUUGAAGGGCGAUAGUAUGAACUUUGUGAAUGACCCUUGUAAGACUGUUCCAGUUGCUGUUAGUCUGUCCAUGGUACAUUACUAUUACCUGAUACAAGCACUAGGUGCUCAAACAGCAUUGCCAGUGUAUUUCUUGGCAGUACAUUUCUUGUAACAACAUCGUUUCAUAAUAAUUCCUAUGAGUAGCAUGAAUUGAUAGAUAUUUUAGGGGACAGGAUCUGCACUGGGGUCGCACAAAUGACAAUAUCUCGAGAGAUGAAGUUUUCUGCUUUCUCAGUCUUUCAUGUGUUUUGAGAGAGUGCCAGUCCAUUUAGCCACGGCGCUUCCUCCUAGCUCCUGUGUUGCUGUUGCCUCGGCACUUGUACUGCAGGUCAAAGUACUCCUUUGAGUUUGUUAGCGACCAGUUCUUCGUGGUUAGCAGACGUGUAGAAUGGGCCUCAGUGCUCUGAUCCACAAGCACGGGCCUGCAAUUACUGCAGCAUCUACGUCAAAGCACAGGUUCGUUAUCUUGGCACAAACUGCACAACUGUCGUGUAUCAUUUAGAAGUAUGGCACUAAGGGCAACCACUUAAGUAUAGCUAGAAUGAUGGAUUUUGGUCCAGAAAAUCUGUCUGCCUUUGCUCUUUACCCAGAGAAAAUACUCCAAGAAAACAGCGACUGAAUUGGCAUGCUUGUUCAAGAGAUAAGAUUGCCUGAGAAAAUAGGCAGAGGUGCACAAUCUGCUGCGGCGGUCUUGGAGGACGUGCUUUUUAGGUGCUGCCAACCUUAGUAACUGAGAGGGCUGCACAGAGAGGGCGCCACACUACCUCCAAUAUUGCUGACACAGCGAAGAGAAAGGUAGCAAUAAUGAGUUAAUGCUAUGGGAAAAGCCAAUAAAAUUGCCAAACUGCAUUUUCUUUCAUGUUGAAAUACAGUGUAACUAUUGUGGCGAUUGGUGAUCUUAUUGUCAGUGAUUGAGUACUAUACCUACCGUAGAGUUUCAUACUAAGAAUACUAGAGAGAAAUGUGGUGCUAGUGCCAAUGUGCACUGCGAGGACAGCAGUACCUGUCUGAACUUUUUUGUCUUGGCUUCGAACAACCUUGAGGAAUUUCACAUUAACCUUCUUGAAGCUAAUUUUUCAUCCUGAGAAUGUGGUAUGAGAAUAAUAAUUAGUCUUGGUUAACCUUUAAUUCCUACCAUAUGAUUAUUUUCAGAACAUUACAAACAAAAAUAAUUGUACUGAAUAUUAAAAAAUAAUUGCACAUGGUAAGUGUUACUAACUGAUGAGCAUAUGAAUUUAUUGAUAUGGAUAUUGAAAAUAGCAUGAUGCAUGUAUAGUGCAGAGUUCCUAUAUUACAGGAUGAAAUGUAUUGGGUCUGAACUCGGGAAAUUUAAUUGCUCAGAAGAAACAUUCUGAGGAUAGCAGGCAACACAAUUGCACCACAAAGAAGAAUAAAAGAAGCUGCAAGAUGUGCCCUCUCAUCAACAAAUCCAUGCGAAGAAAUAGAGAAAUCCGAGUGCUACCCGCACUUCCUGUUCUGAAGGACUACAGCACCAGUUUCCUCUCUAAUAAUCCUAGUAAUGAAAAUUUUCACUAUUUGCGGAAUAUUAUGCAGACAUAAGACAUCCUCAAGUUCUGUAUUUUCACUACAGGUGGUGCCAGUAUACUUCCACAUUUACGUAAUUUUCUCCUACAAAAGAUUUCUCA
rnacentral:lncRNA from 1 species